rnacentral:rRNA from 1 species
AGCGAACGCUGGCGGCAGGCUUAACACAUGCAAGUCGAACGGGCACUUCGGUGCUAGUGGCAGACGGGUGAGUAACACGUGGGAACGUACCUUUCGGUUCGGAAUAAUUCAGGGAAACUUGGACUAAUACCGGAUACGCCCUUCGGGGGACAGAUUUAUCGCCGAUAGAUCGGCCCGCGUCUGAUUAGCUAGUUGGUGGGGUAAUGGCUCACCAAGGCGACGAUCAGUAGCUGGUCUGAGAGGAUGAUCAGCCACAUUGGGACUGAGACACGGCCCAAACUCCUACGGGAGGCAGCAGUGGGGAAUAUUGGACAAUGGGCGCAAGCCUGAUCCAGCCAUGCCGCGUGAGUGAUGAAGGCCUUAGGGUUGUAAAGCUCUUUUGUCCGGGAAGAUAAUGACUGUACCGGAAGAAUAAGCCCCGGCUAACUUCGUGCCAGCCGCCGCAGUAAGAC